rnacentral:lncRNA from 1 species
GGUUCAGUAAGAGCCCUUUUUGGCCCCAAAAUAUAGCAGUUUUAGAAAAUUGUGAAAAUGUAAUCUUUCAGCUAUAUUUUGGAAAGUAAAAUGCUUCUGCUACAUAAAUAUGAGCUGUUUUUGACAAUACAAUGAACAAAUAUCGCGUUCUAGCAUCAUUAAGUCAUGCUAAAUUACUGAAAUCUUCAAAAUUGUAGCAUUUUGGUUAAUUUUUAGACGGUUUUCGUCUAAAAUGAAAGUGGCCGC